rnacentral:rRNA from 1 species
UACAGAGGUGCCAAGCGUUAGGCGGAAUCACUGGGCUUAAAGCGCGUGUAGGUGGAUGGGUAAGUAUCUUGUGAAAUCCCACGGCUCAACCGUGGAACUGCUGGAUAUACUGCCUGUCUUGAGGCACUCAGGGGCAGCUGGAACAAAUGGUGGAGCGGUGAAAUGCGUAGAUAUCACUUGGAACGCCAAAGGCGAAAGCAGGCUGCUGGGAGUGAUCUGACACUGAGACGCGAAAGCCAGGGGAGCAAACGGG